AUUACUGUUAGUUUUUUUUAAAUUGUUUUAAGACUAACAAAAAAAGACACAUUGUAGUACUUUGCUGUUAUUUUCAUAGCUAAACCAUGCCUUAAUGGAGACGGGACCAGCCGAUGAAUUUUUGGCAUCUGUUGGAACUACAGUCCUCACCAGGAUGGAUUUCCUUACUUUAGGGCACCAACGUGAUGUAGAAGCAACAGGCAUUCCCAGACAACACAAUUCAAAUAACUGCGGAUUGUUUGUGUUGAUGGUCAGACGCGGAACGAAAACAACUCAGAAAAAAGAGGAGACU